GAAAAGCUUCAACAUGGCAAGUAAAUGAAGUUUGAUUAUAAGGAGAUAAGAAUGCUAUUAAUUAAGCAAGAAAAUGAAAGAAUCAAGAAGCUCGUAACGGAUUCACUCCAUAAUGCAAGAAGAUCACGACGCAUCUUCUUCAUGACGUAUCUUCCUCGAGAUACAUCUUCCUCAAGACAUAUUCUCCUCAAGAUGCAUCUUCCUCACUUGAGAUCACAACACUUCAAGAAGAAAUGCACGUCUAUAAAUAGAAGGCAAUUCUCUGUGUAGUAGACAUCGAGGAAAAAGAAACAAAAGAGCCACUUUAUUUUCUAAAGCUUUGGUCACUUAUUAUUUCUUGUUCUUCUUUCAUUACUUAUAAUUUUCAGAUUUCCUAGAAGUAUUGGCAAUAUAGGCCAUAUUAUAGAAGUCCUUUCUUUUUCAAA